rnacentral:rRNA from 1 species
CCUACGGGGGGCAGCAGUGAGGAAUAUUGGUCAAUGGGCGGGAGCCUGAACCAGCCAAGUAGCGUGAGGGAAGAAGGUACUGAGUAUUGUAAACCUCUUUUGUCAGGGGACAAAGGCGGCCACGGGUGGCCGUAAGAGGGUACCUGGAGAAAAAGCAUCGGCUAACUCCGUGCCAGCAGCCGCGGUAAUACGGAGGAUUCGAGCGUUAUCCGGAUUUAUUGGGUUUAAGGGGGGCGCAGGCGGCGUGUCAAGUCAGCGGUAAAAUGUAGGGGCUCAACCCCGGCCUGCCGUUGAAACUGGCGUGCUCGAGUAGGGGAGAGGUAUGCGGAAUUCGUGGUGUAGCGGUGAAAUGCUUAGAUAUCACGAAGAACCCCGAUUGCGAAGGCAGCAUGCCGGCUCCACACUGACGCUGAGGCACGAAAGCGUGGGUAUCGAACAGGACUAGAUACCCCAGUAGUC